AGGGACUUAAUAUGAAAAUGGCAUUAAAAAUCCCAUGUAUUACAUUGGACGUGAUUAAGGGGCUUUAUGAGGAUCAGCCGUUUUGAUGUCUUGGGGCCAUAUUAAUCGAUCAAAAUAAAUUUCCCCAAUUGUUUAUGUUGUGUGUCAAGUAGCAAGGAAAAAAAACGAUCAAUCAUAUUUGGGCGUGAAGUAGUCAUCGACGAUUGCUAGGAAAGAAAAAGAAGAAAACCAAACGUGAAGGAGAGGGGAAAAAGGGUUGCGAGUUUUGUGAGUCAAUUUGGGGCUAGGAAUCGUCCUUGGGGCAAGGGUGAUACUUCAACCAAUACAAUAUUUGAAGUGUGAGUUGAUCACAUUUUUGGCAAAGGUAGCUUGACAUGAUGCCUUGGUGAGGAUGGGAGCUUUUGGGUAGUCUUAGUUAGUAUCUUUAGUUAUGAUACCAUUUAAACAUGUUGGGUUUUCAUCAUUACGUUUUUGUGAACUUUAAAUUUAGAUGGGUUUGUUUUUACAUGAAAGUAACAUUGGUGAUGUUUUUGAAAUAAACAUAAUAAGUAUUCCGCAACGUAUUCUGUUAAAUAAUGUUUUACAAAUAA